rnacentral:lncRNA from 13 species
AUGAACGUGAGAUUCUCUAAAGAACAUUUGGGUUAUGAUGGCUGUUUUUACUUUCCAAUUUAUGUGGCAAAGAAUGAACAGAGAAAAAUCUUUACCAAACAGAAAUUAUUGAUUGUUGCCAUCAACGUGAUGGAAAUCGUAAGUGAGAGCGUGGCUAUUUUAUUGUAGAUAAAUAGACGCACACUCCAGAGAGCUAGACAGAGCUACAAGUCGUUCAUGGGAGAUGCGCUGUUAUGUCUGAAAACACGAGAAAAAGUGUUGAUGGAGAAAGAUGGAAGCUGCUUGUGAGAGACAAGACAGACCCUGUGGAGGUUUAGUCAUGAAGAAGAUAAAGAAGAUUCUGUGGAGGGAUUCUCUAAAACCAAAACACAAAUUGUAAUGCAUCUACAGUUAGACUGCUACGAACUUUGACUCGAUGGAGCGAAAGCUUCAGGCUUUUCUCUUUAUCUGUGCUACUUCCAAAGAAUGUGAACAGUGGGCCAUUUUUGCAAGUAGAAGUUGUUUAACCAUGAGAUGAAUGUUCCAUGAUUUCAAAUGAUAGAUAAUAAACAUUUUUCUUUUGAGUUUCGAAUUUAGUUU